AUUGAACGCUGGCGGCAGGCCUAACACAUGCAAGUCGAGCGAGCGGCGGACGGGUGUGUAAUGUAUGGGUAUCUGCCCGAUAGAGGGGUAUAACUACUGGAAACUAUGUCUAAUACCGCAUACUCUCGUAAGACCCCAUAUGGUAUUCGCUAGUAGGUGGGGUAAAGGCUCACCUAGGCGACGAUCUCUAGCUGGUCUGAGAGGAUGAUCAGCCACACUGGGACUGAGACACGGCCCAGACUCCUACGGGAGGCAGCAGUGGGGAAUAUUGCACAAGGGGCGCAAGCCUGAUGCAGCCAUGCCGCGUGUAUGAAGAAGGCCUUCGGGUUGUAAAGUACUUUCAGCGAGGAGGCGUUACUCGCAGAAGAAGCACCGGCUAACUCCGUGCCAGCAGCCGCGGUAAUUC
rnacentral:rRNA from 1 species